rnacentral:rRNA from 1 species
AAACGGAGGAAAAGAAACCAACCGGGAUUGCCUUAGUAACGGCGAGUGAAGCGGCAAAAGCUCAAAUUUGAAAUCUGGUACCUUCGGUGCCCGAGUUGUAAUUUGGAGAGGGCAACUUUGGGGCCGUUCCUUGUCUAUGUUCCUUGGAACAGGACGUCAUAGAGGGUGAGAAUCCCGUGUGGCGAGGAGUGCGGUUCUUUGUAAAGUGCCUUCGAAGAGUCGAGUUGUUUGGGAAUGCAGCUCUAAGUGGGUGGUAAAUUCCAUCUAAAGCUAAAUAUUGGCGAGAGACCGAUAGCGAACAAGUACAGUGAUGGAAAGAUGAAAAGAACUUUGAAAAGAGAGUGAAAAAGUACGUGAAAUUGUUGAAAGGGAAGGGCAUUUGAUCAGACAUGGUGUUUUGUGCCCUCUGCUCCUUGUGGGUAGGGGAAUCUCGCAUUUCACUGGGCCAGCAUCAGUUUUGGUGGCAGGAUAAAUCCAUAGGAAUGUAGCUUGCCUCGGUAAGUAUUAUAGCCUGUGGGAAUACUGCCAGCUGGGACUGAGGACUGCGACGUAAGUCAAGGAUGCUGGCAUAAUGGUUAUAUGCCGCCCGUCUGAA